GUCGGUGAGAAGAGAUAAGGUUUAAGCUUAAGCUAUCUGGGGGAGGUUAGCAAAUUUUAUUGAUUUUUUUUUUUGAAUGUUUUCCUUAUGUAUUGUUAGUUUUUUUUCCCUUUAAUGGACCGAUAAGAAUUUAAUAUUGUGUUCCUUAUUAUUAAUAGAUUUUUCUCUUGCCAUAUAACAUAAAUUGACACUAUUGAUGUUGUUUACUUUCAAAAUUAGGAAUAAAAUUAUAUUUUAGAACGAUUAAUUUA
rnacentral:lncRNA from 1 species